rnacentral:rRNA from 1 species
AAUCAACGCUGGCGGCAUGCCUAACACAUGCAAGUCGAACGGGAAAGUGGGAGCAAUCCCAUGAGUAUAGUGGCGCACGGGUGAGUAACACGUGACUAACCUACCCUCGAGUGGGGAAUAACCCCGGGAAACCGGGCUAACACCGCAUAAUACCGCAAGGUCAAAUGCGUAAGCAGCUUGAGGAGGGGGUCGCGGUUGAUUAGCUAGUUGGUAGGGUAAUGGCCUACCAAGGCAGUGANCAAUAGCCGGCCUGAGAGGGCGCACGGCCACACUGGAACUGAAACACGGUCCAGACUCCUACGGGAGGCAGCAGUGGGGAAUUUUGCGCAAUGGGGGAAACCCUGACGCAGCAAUGCCGCGUGGA